rnacentral:rRNA from 1 species
CCUACGGGGGGCAGCAGUAGGGAAUAUUGCUCAAUGGGGGAAACCCUGACGCAGCAACGCCGCGUGGGGGAUGAAGGUUUUCGGAUUGUAAACCCCUUUUGUUAGAGAAGAUAAUGACGGUAUCUAACGAAUAAGCACCGGCUAACUCCGUGCCAGCAGCCGCGGUAAUACGGAGGGUGCAAGCGUUACUCGGAAUCACUGGGCGUAAAGAGCGCGUAGGCGGGAUAGCAAGUCAGAUGUGAAAUCCUAUGGCUUAACCAUAGAACUGCAUUUGAAACUGUUAUUCUAGAGUAUGGGAGAGGUAGGUGGAAUUCUUGGUGUAGGGGUAAAAUCCGUAGAGAUCAAGAGGAACACUCAUGGCGAAGGCGACCUGCUGGAACGUAACUGACGCUGAUGCGCGAAAGCGUGGGGAGCAAACAGGAUUAGAUACCCCAGUAGUC